CUAUAACGGUCCUAAGGUAGCGAAAUUCCUUGUCGGGUAAGUUCCGACCCGCACGAAAGGCGUAACGAUUUGGGCACUGUCUCAACAACAGACUCGGUGAAAUUGUAAUUCCGGUGAAGAUGCAGGAUACCUGCGACAGGACGGAAAGACCCCAUGGAGCUUUACUGUAGCUUGACAUUGGGUCUUGGUACUACAUGUACAGGACAGGUGGGAGGCUUUGAAACCAGGACGCCAGGUUUUGAGGAGCCAUCCUUGGGAUUCGACCCUUGUAGUACGGGGCCCCUAACCAUAGGACAUGAAUCUGGUCUUGGGACACUGGCAGGUGGGCAGUUUGACUGGGGCGGUCGCCUCCCAAAAGGUAAC
rnacentral:rRNA from 1 species